GACGAACGCUGGCGGCGUGCCUAAUACAUGCAAGUAGAACGCUGAAGGAGGAGCUUGCUCUUCUGGAUGAGUUGCGAACGGGUGAGUAACGCGUAGGUAACCUGCCUGGUAGCGGGGGAUAACUAUUGGAAACGAUAGCUAAUACCGCAUAAGAGUAGAGGUUGCAUGACAUUUACUUAAUAGGUGCAAUUGCAUCACUACCAGAUGGACCUGCGUUGUAUUAGGUAGUUGGUGGGGUAACGGCUUACCAAGGCGACGAUACAGAGCCGACCUGGGAGGAUGAUCGGCCACACUGGGAGGGAGACACGGCCCAGAGGCCUACGGGAGGCAGCAGUAGGGAAUCGGCGGCAAUGGACGGGAGUCUGACCGAACAGCGCCGCGUGAGUGAAGAAGGGUUUCGGGUCGGGAAGCUCUGUUGUAGGAGAAGAACGAGUUUGAGAGUGGAAAGUUCACACUGUGACGGUACCUUAAGAAGAAGCAACGGCUAACUACGUG
rnacentral:rRNA from 1 species